GGCGUGCUUAACACAUGCAAGUCGAACGGUGAACACGGAGCUUGCUCUGUGGGAUCAGUGGCGAACGGGUGAGUAACACGUGAGCAACCUGCCCCUGACUCUGGGAUAAGCGCUGGAAACGGCGUCUAAUACUGGAUAUGUGACGUGACCGCAUGGUCUGCGUUUGGAAAGAUUUUUCGGUUGGGGAGGGGCUCGCGGCCUAUCAGCUUGUUGGUGAGGUAAUGGCUCACCAAGGCGUCGACGGGUAGCCGGCCUGAGAGGGUGACCGGCCACACUGGGACUGAGACACGGCCCAGACUCCUACGGGAGGCAGCAGUGGGGAAUAUUGCACAAUGGGCGAAAGCCUGAUGCAGCAACGCCGCGUGAGGGAUGACGGCCUUCGGGUUGUAAACCUCUUUUAGCAGGGAAGAAGCGAAAGUGACGGUACCUGCAGAAAAAGCGCCGGCUAACUACGUGCCAGCAGCCGCGGUAAUACGUAGGGCGCAAGCGUUAUCCGGAAUUAUUGGGCGUAAAGAGCUCGUAGGCGGUUUGUCGCGUCUGCUGUGAAAUCCCGAGGCUCAACCUCGGGCCUGCAGUGGGUACGGGCAGACUAGAGUGCGGUAGGGGAGAUUGGAAUUCCUGGUGUAGCGGUGGAAUGCGCAGAUAUCAGGAGGAACACCGAUGGCGAAGGCAGAUCUCUGGGCCGUAACUGACGCUGAGGAGCGAAAGGGUGGGGAGCAAACAGGCUUAGAUACCCUGGUAGUCCACCCCGUAAACGUUGGGAACUAGUUGUGGGGUCCAUUCCACGGAUUCCGUGACGCAGCUAACGCAUUAAGUUCCCCGCCUGGGGAGUACGGCCGCAAGGCUAAAACUCAAAGGAAUUGACGGGGACCCGCACAAGCGGCGGAGCAUGCGGAUUAAUUCGAUGCAAC
rnacentral:rRNA from 1 species